GGCGCGAGCCCGAAAGUUACAAUCACAAAAUCACCCAAUAUGAUUGGCUCCUUCUUCCCCCAAGCAUACUCAAUUAACCAAUAUCGUAUGACGAGCUCAGGAGAUGGUCAUUGCACGUCAAGUGCUCCCAAGGAAGCCACUAGUGCCAAUAAGGAAGCUAAUGGAGUGGAGGGUAAAACUGUUUGAAAAUGUUUAAAGUCCAUUCCCUGUUGCCUCGUGAAGGAAAGGUAGUUAUGCACCAGUCUUCUCUCAUUUGGCAGAAGUCUGC